rnacentral:rRNA from 1 species
GACGAACCGUGCAAACGUUAUUCGGAAUCACUGGGCUUAAAGGGCGCGUAGGCGGGUAACCAAGUCCGGGGUGAAAUCCUCCAGCUUAACUGGAGAAGUGCCUCGGAUACUGGUCGUCUCGAGGAGGGUAGGGGCAUCUGGAACUAGCGGUGGAGCGGUGAAAUGCGUUGAUAUCAGGAAGAACACCGGUGGCGAAAGCGCUCUGCUAGGCCGCAACUGACACUGAGGGACGAAAGCUAGGGGAGCGAAUGGG